GUGUCAGCAGCCGCGGUAAUACGGAGGGUGCAAGCGUUAUCCGGAUUCACUGGGUUUAAAGGGUGCGUAGGUGGGCUAGUAAGUCCGUGGUGAAAUCUCCAAGCUUAACUUGGAAACUGCCGUGGAUACUAUUAGUCUUGAAUAUUGUGGAGGUAAGCGGAAUAUGUCAUGUAGCGGUGAAAUGCUUAGAUAUGACAUAGAACACCGAUAGCGAAGGCAGCUUGCUACACAAUCAUUGACACUGAGGCACGAAAGCGUGGGGAUCAAACAGGAUUAGAUACCCCCGUAGUCC
rnacentral:rRNA from 1 species